rnacentral:lncRNA from 1 species
UUUUUUAUCUGGAGAAGAUUCGGUACGCCCGCCCCGCGUCGCCUACGACCCCCAUAACCCUAGAUCGGCGAUCCUCCCUCCUCUACCUCCGUGUGCAAAGGCGGUCGACGGUUCGCCUCCCCCCUCCGACGUUGCGUCUCCCUCUCUCCUUCCCUCCAUCCUCUCCUUUCUCCGCUGUUACGCUUCCUCUUUCUCUACCUCCUCGUCGUCGCCGACGCCCACGGCCGAGCCUACGCCACUGCCCCUCUCUCCCUCCCUCCUUCUUCGUGCAUCUCCAUCUCUCCUUUCCUCUCACUGUCGCGCCCCCAGCCGUGCCACCCCGACGUCGCCGCGCCCCUCCCCCUCCUUCGUCCUCUGUGCUUCUUCCCAGGUCUUUUGGCUUCGUGCCUCUCUCGCUCUCUGUCUCCUCCAAGCGAGAUCUCCCCCCGUCCGUGAGAAGAACCUUCUUCAGGUAUUAUAUCUCUCCUCUCUCUCUCUAGUUUGAGCUUCUGGUAGGUUCAGAGAACCAAUUGUCUGCAACAAUCAAAGUAGUAGAUCUGUUACCUGUUUUCCGAAAGAUAAUUUCUAGCAACUUUACAGUGUUCGAUUAGUUCCUACCACUUGUCGACUACUUUGGCUGAAUAAUUUCGUCAGUAUCAUCUUUUCGGACACUAAAAUCUCAAUUAUUUUGCUUUGGGAUGAACUAAAGUUGAUAAAUAUGAUUAUAAAAAUAAAAAUGACACAUCAAAUCGAAAUCAUAUAGAGUAACUGACGGAGUAAAGAGGGAACUGAGAAGUAUAGUAACUGGUGGCUAUGGAGGAAGGUGGGGGAAGGAGAGGGCGGCAGAUGAAGUUGCUGCCGAAGGUGGUAACAGCGACAGAGGAAGCUGUGGACGAAGGCGGUGGUGGAUGAAAUUGCAUAGGAAGGCAGUAGCGAUAAACAAAAGUUGUUGAUGAAGGCGGCGACGACGACGGAGGAAGCUGUGGACGAAGGUGGUGGCUGCGGACAAAGGUGGCAGUGACGUACAUAGGGUUUCACUUCGAAGACAAAUUGGGCCGGGGGCGGGUUUUGUGUUAGGGAAG